UAAUCUCUUUCCCUGAACAAAUGUCUUCUUGUUGCAGCGACGAUGCUAUUGCUUCUUCUUCUUCAUCUUCUUCACGAUUCUUCUCUUCUUCUUCUUUAUCGUUUUCACAUGGCUGCUUCUAGUGCCAAAAACAUUGGAGAAAGAUACUAGAGCUCCCAAGGAAGAUUCUUCGAAUGUUCUUUUUUCAUCAAUUCAAUCUUGCCGUCGAGAGAAUUAUGGUCUUCGAGGGUUAGGGUUUUCAAUUCUUAUGAAGACGAGCCGAAAUCAAUCUGUUGAAUUCGAUGAUUUUCUCGGAUGAAUGAAGGUUGUGAUGCUUCCGUCGAUCUUUGGUCGAUUUAUCUUGAGAUUCUUAGCAUAGCAUUCGUUCUAAACAAUGGAUCAUGAUACUCGCAGCAAUAAGCUUCAGAAAUUCUUUGUCGCCAUGGAAACGGCCUUUUAGGGAACAGAUGAAAUUAUCAAUUGCGCCUUGGAGGGUUUGAAGAAAUAAGUCAGGAAAGAACUAUGAUCAGGGCUUUCCCACCUUCUACCGAGGAUGUCGAGACGCCCAGCAGAUUGUCGACAAGAUACAACUGCUUAGAAUCUGCUUGAUGUCUACUUGUUGUUUCAUGAUGAUGGUUAUUUGUUGCUUGCACAGAAGGACCUACUGAAAAUCAACUCUUUUGAAGCUGUUGCACACUCAUUAGAAACCUGAUGCAUCAAAGUCAAAUGACCAUAUUCUGGCAGGAGCAGAUGAGUUCUUGCCUCUCCUCAUGUAUGCUACAAUCAUGACAAAUCCUGCGCACCUUGCAUUCUUUUCUCAAGUUCAUCCAUCCAAUUAUACUGAAGGAAGGCAAAAAUUGUCCCUGAGGAUAAACCUUGUCUCGGACAAGUCAUUUAAGAAGUUGUGCAGCACCGAGUAAGAAGGUAGAAUCCGGUUCAUCUACCAAUCGGUAUCUUUGAGCUUCUUGAUUGCUCAUAACAGAUCUGGAGUACCCCCAUAAUAUGGAGGCAGACGCCAGUGACCUGGUUCUGAAUGUGGAAGAUGCUUAGAGAUUGCUGACUAUACAAGGAAAUGCUGGUGAGGCUUAUGAAUGAGGAGCAAGUAAAAAAGAAGAAGGAAAGGUAAUGCAAAGCAUCCCAAAACAAAACAUUCGACUUUCAUAAAUGUCUUAAUCCCAUGUUUACAUAACACUUUUAAGCUUAGGAUUGAAAUCUUGAAGUGGUCAUGUGUUAGUUACAAUCACGGGUAGAAACCUUAAGCCAUUUGCAGUUUUGUGCCUAGAUAAGAACCUAUAUACAGAAAGAUCAUAAAUACAGUCAGCCUACUCUAAGUGUUACGGAUAAAUUAGAUCCACUGCCCAUAGCAGCUGACUCACCUCUACAAACAAAGCCAGCUUUGGGCACUUGACUAGAUCCACGCUCUUUUUUAGAUUGCUUUGGUUUCUUGCUGUACAACUCAAUGCAUCUGAAACAAAGGAACUUGGAAGGUAGGGCAUCAGCGUUAUUGAUCCCAAUACAUCUAGUGUGGUGCCACACACCACAUCCAUCACAGGCCAACAUCCUCUCGCCAUCAUCAUCCUUUGUGCCACACUUGCAAUCAACUUUCCAAUUAUCCACCCCUCUCUCCAUGCGGUAUCUAAGGAGCCCGUGUUUUGAGCAUCUCCCUUUAAUCCGUAUGACCCCGUUUGUGCCAACUAGAAAUUUCAGGGUAAUAGAGUCAUCUAUAGAACCGUAACCUAGGAGCUCCUCAACUUCAAACCUCUUGAACAUUGCAUACACUUCCUGAAAAGCCUUAGCAGCUUCGAUUUUAAGGUCGGAAACAGUAGCGUUCAAUGGCAAAACCAACCGUUCAGGUGGAGGGGCUGGGGAUUCUUUGAGUUCAUCCGAAAGCUCAACACAGCACCAGAGGUUGAUUGCAACGGGGUUCACUGUGCUAGACAGGUAAUCUUUUAUGAAAUGCUUACAGUCCAGUAUUUUUGUGGCUGCGUCAAUCAUUUUUUCUCUUGUAGCUCGAGACCUAAACUCGGCCAUGGUUUGUGGGUGCAAUAAAGUUUCAUACAAAUAUCUUAAAUCCUGUUUGACAUGCUCCACUGAUGCAUUAUUUACAUCUUGAUUAGAUAAGCGGUGCACAUUGUUGACAGAUUCAAGCCUGGAGUUCAUAUGCAAAGGUUAAGAUUAUUAUGCACACUGGAAACCAACCAAUCAGAAUAAGAAGAAACAUCUCUUGUAAGUUUACCUGUACUCAAAGUCGUUUGAACCAGGAUUGCAACGUGAGCUGACUACUCGAGAUCCAUCAUCCACCAAAACCCCUCCAAAAUGCUUGAGACAGUAAUCAAUCAGUUGUGGAGAGGCUGAUUUGCAAAUAGACCUCUUGAGAGCCCACCUUGUAACCCAGUUGGCUUGUGGGCGUCCUGAAGCUUUCAGUAUCUUAACCAUGGUUUGCUGUACACGUUCCACAUCACUUUUAGACCAAGCACACAGUACAGACGACUUAGAUGCAGGUUUGGAACUGUUCUCACGAAUCAUCUGUAGGAGAAAGGAGAAGAGGUCUUUGACAGUCACAAGCUCUGAACACGAGAGUGAUUGGUAGAAGCUAAUAAUGGAGUGGAGCUGAGUUCUUGGUUUCCUCCCCUGGAACAAAAACUCAGAGAGAGGAAUCGCAGAUAAAGUAUCCACUGCACUCUGGUAAGCUUCUUUGGUGAGUGCAUAGCUCCCCGAUUUGAAUUCAUAACCCCACUCACUGUACCACGAACACCCUCUAGUAAUCCCAUGAAGCAACCGGUAGUCCAUCCCAUACUUCCUUGACACAUCCAUCACACUAGCUUUUCGAACAGCAAGGGAGGAACAAAGCCUAUCCCAGAAGUCCAUAAUGGCACGACCAGUCAAAAAACCAGAGCCACCUUCUCUUCCAUUAAGACACAGUAGAUGAGCGUAGCCAUUAGAGUGGAUAACGCCGUGAAGGAGGUGAGUGUUAUCCUCUAGCUGAGAGUAAACCCAGUUUUCAAUGUCUAAAGCCAUGCUGCACCAUUUGCAAUUGCUACCUUCAGACAAAUUCUGAGUAUUACCACACCUCGUGCAAGCCUUAGUGUCUCCUCCUGACCUUAUGAUGAAGCGGUACCUCUUUCUACACACUGGAUGACUACUCCAACCUUCAAAACCAACAGAUUUUCUCAGUCUAUGCAUGCACCAUAUCAAGAGGUAAGAGAUAAAAGGUUGAAACUUUUUGAAAUUUAAAGAGGGACAAAGACUCACCAACGACACAGCAGUGUUCACAGUAAACAGAUCUAGAGGAUCUCGUCACAUCCUCCUCCACAACGUCGAGAGAGACGAGUUUAGAAGAGAGAUCUGAACCGUCCGUCGAAUCUCCAGGUCUAAGCAUGAUCUGCCACGUCAUCAAACUCGAGAAGAGCGUCGAAGGAGGGAAAGUGACACGCGCGUGGGUCGCGAGGAAGGUUCUCACACCGUCUCGGAACGGCGGCAAAGUCGUCGACUCGCCGUUGAUCUCCGCCGUCGGGAAAGUAGAGAAAUCGUAAAGAUCAGCUGAGAUUCUGUUGCUACGCCUCGCUCGCUUCGUCGCACGACCACCGUUCAUCACCGCCAUGACUGUGUAACAAGGGUUUUUUCCGACACUUAAAUUAAAACUAGAAUAAGAGUUAAAGAUACAGAGAGAGAGAUUUGAGAUAGAUACAGAGGAGGGGAGAGAGAGAAGGUGAAGAGGUUUAAGGAGAGAGUAAUUUUGGCGGAGAGAUUUUCCCUCUCAAAAGUUUUGGAGGAUUUUAGGGUUUUGGGGGGUAUUGACUAAAAGCUUGACUUGACCGCUUCUGAUGGGGGAAGGAAGGAAGGUAGAUGCUUUUUAUUUUCCUUUUCUCUACUCACCAAUUUCGGGAGAGAGUGGGUCCCCCUGAUUCCAAAUUCGAGGCGGUUUCGAUUUCUUUUUCUCCACGCCUUUUUUUGUUUUUAUUUGUUUCCCUAUUUUGUUCGAUUUCUUUUAUUUCAAUAAGUUAGCUAAUUAAGUCCUUUUUUGUCCUCAAUAAAACCAAAGCUAAUUAAGUCCUAUCCAUUAUCCAGUUCCGAUUGUGACACCUUCUGUUUUGUAGAAAUUCUACCCCAAUAAGAUCUCUCAGAUUCAAUGAUUUUUGUUUUAAUUAAGUUAUAGGCCAAUGAUUUAUUAGCAAAAGUCCAAAACAAAUAAAAACACACCACUGACCCAGUUAAAAUAUAAGAUUUCUUUCUAUUUUUUUAGUUAAGAAAAUUAC